ensembl:processed_transcript 1500017E21Rik RIKEN cDNA 1500017E21 gene
GAACCUUGAAGGGGAAUGCGUCAACCAGGCACUCUCAGGGUCUUAAUGGACUCAUUUGUACUUACAAGAAUGGGCGGGGACCACUAAAGAAGUCUCAAACAAGACUUCUGCUCUGCUCACUGCUUAUGUCCGGGAAAGCAGUGAGUAGAAACAGACAGAGGGGAACCCCACGUCGCUGCACGGGAGGAGCUACCUUAAAUGCAGUGUGAGUGGAAGAAAGACCUUCAUUCUGGAGGAUGCUCUGCUUGGCCUGGAUGCUGCCCAUCAGAAGCCCCAGCAAGACUGUUUUCAGCAGGAAUUCCCCAGGUUUGAUGACAUCAUUCUGCUCGCUGUCCCAGUACUGAGUGUCCUCCAAGCCUCACUUUUCCCCCUGCGGUCCGGCAGAGAAUGGUGGCGUCACCCUAGAGCGAGGAUUUGCAGACCAACUGGAGUGUCUCCUUCCUGAGCAUUCAGCCUACAAUCCCAAGGGACUGAGUUGGCUCCAGUGCAGUAUACAUGGAAGUGGUACUUGCUCUUUGGGGCUUGGCCUCAGAACUAUCCUGGAUGGAGGUCAGAGCUUACCGUAUGGUCAGGUCUGUCUUCGCAUAGCCGUCGUACUGUGUGCUCCUCUGCAGUGCAUGCAUAUCCAGUUCAGGACUGCCACAAACCAGGAUUUCUACUUCUUCUGGACGAAGCAGCUAUCAAUAAUCACAAAAACCAUAAUUCAAAAUGAUAGUCUUGCCGGGCAGUGGCGGUGCCCUCCUUUAAUCCCAGCACUCGGGAGGCAGAGGCAGGGGGGUUUNNNNNNNNNNGCAGGCGGAUUUCUGAGUUCGAGGCCAGCCUGGUCUACAAAGUGAGUUCCAGGACAGCCAGGGCUGCACAGAGAAACCCUGUCUUGAAAAAUCCAAAUUUAAAAAAAUGAUAGUCUUAAAUGAAAUUUGAAGUGUUUUUAUUGCAGAAUCAAAUCAUAGAAAUUAUGACACUGUCUCAGUAAAUAAAAUUACUUUUUUGUUGAAG